ACUGAAUUAUUAGUGCUACUGACAAUCUAUGGCUAUCUAUUAGGUUUGAGUGUUUGAACUCAUCCUAAAAAGAACCCCUGCAUUUACUCGGAAGUACUGCAGUGACGGGUAAUGGGUUGGUGUACGCGAUUGUCCUCCAGGCAAGAGUGGUGCUGGCUGGAAAAAAGGAAGUGGCUGUCAAAAGCACUUUCCUCUAUAUACUGCUUUAGAUAAUGUUUAUAUGUGCGCUAAUUCAUACUGGCACAACAAGGUACCAUGGACUGGUGCACUACCGGUGAAUGGACUGCUUUGCAAGGCUUGUAGAGCUAAACCAUUAUCUGGUGAAUACCAUCAAUGAUCAGAACUAAAGGGCCAACCCUGUUUGUGCCAGAAGCCUGAAAGGGAAAAGGGGCAUGGGAAUGCAGACAAUCGCUUCUGGAAGAAUAGUUGUCCCGCUUCAAGACCCUGAGAGGAUGGCUUGAUUGUACUAUUGUCAAUCGGGAGAUUUUGCCCGUGUCUGUCAUUCUUUUCAACUAUCUUGCAAGUUAGACCGAUGAUCAACGACAUAUCCAUUUUGUA